rnacentral:rRNA from 1 species
UACGGGGGGGGCAAGCGUUGUUCGGAAUUACUGGGCGUAAAGGGCUCGUAGGCGGCCAACUAAGUCGGAUGUGAAAUCCCCAGGCUCAACCUUGGAACUGCAUCCGAUACUGGAUGGCUUGAAUCCGGGAGAGGGAGGCAGAAUUCCAGGUGUAGCGGUGAAAUGCGUAGAUAUCUGGAGGAAUACCGGUGGCGAAGGCGGCAUCCUGGACCGGCAUUGACGCUGAGGAGCGAAAGCUAGGGGAGCAAACGGG